ACAGCGUGCUGGCGGCCACGAACAGCACCGGGCCCCGGCGCCGCAGCCACGCCUCGUACAGAGCCGGCCAGCGCGCGUUCAGCUUGAAGAUGCAGACGAUCUGGAAGGAGCGGGUGGCCACGCACGACAGGAAGAUGACUUGACCACCGGGGUGGAGGCGUUCAGGGCGAAGAGGACGGCCAGCCCUGCCAUGAGCAGCAUGAGGAGGGCAGUGGGGAUCAGCAGUGCCCAGGACAUGGGCCCGGACCAGGACAGGAACUCGACGGUGCGGUUGAAGCAAACCUCGCUCCUCUCGGGUGCCCACUCUUCCGCCCCGCAGUGCUGGCAGCUGUAGAGGUCUGCGGAGGACACGGACGGUGACAAGAGGCACCUCGCCCAGCACGGACCCCGGAUGCGGUGCCGGAAGCAGCUGCCGGGCCGGAUGUGCCCGGGCCAUGGGAGAAG